rnacentral:rRNA from 1 species
GACGAACGCUGGCGGCGUGCCUAAUACAUGCAAGUUGAGCGCUGAAGGUUGGUACCUGUACCAACUGGAUGAGCAGCGAACGGGUGAGUAACGCGUGGGGAAUCUGCCUUUGAGCGGGGGACAACAUUUGGAAACGAAUGCUAAUACCGCAUAAAAACUUUAAACACAAGUUUUAAGUUUGAAAGAUGCAAUUGCAUCACUCAAAGAUGAUCCCGCGUUGUAUUAGCUAGUUGGUGAGGUAAAGGCUCACCAAGGCGAUGAUACAUAGCCGACCUGAGAGGGUGAUCGGCCACAUUGGGACUGAGACACGGCCCAAACUACUACGGGAGGCAGCAGUAGGGAAUCUUCGGCAAUGGACGAAAGUCUGACCGAGCAACGCCGCGUGAGUGAAGAAGGUUUUCGGAUCGUAAAACUCUGUUGGUAGAGAAGAACGUUGGUGAGAGUGGAAAGCUCAUCAAGUGACGGUAACUACCCAGAAAGGGACGGCUAACUACGUG